rnacentral:lncRNA from 1 species
GAAGAAGAAGAGAAGCAAGAAGAAUGUUGAAACAUACAAGAUCUACAUCUUCAAAGUUCUGAAGCAGGUUCACCCAGACAUUGGUAUCUCAAGCAAAGCCAUGGGAAUAAUGAACAGUUUCAUCAAUGAUAUCUUCGAGAAACUUGCUCAAGAAUCAUCCAGACUUGCUCGUUACAACAAGAAGCCAACAAUCACUUCAAGGGAAAUUCAGACUGCUGUCAGACUUGUUCUUCCUGGUGAAUUGGCCAAACAUGCUGUUUCUGAAGGAACAAAAGCUGUGACUAAGUUCACUAGUUCUUAGAUCUAAGAUAAUUUCGUUGACUUUUGUGGGAUUUAUUUGCUUGGUUUGAUGUUACUUUAUCUGAUCUUAGGAACUCUUAGAUAUUUUAAAUUUUUGCUUUCGAAUUUGUAGUGAAGUAGUAAUUGGAUCUGGUUGGUCUUUCUGUGUAUCAUAAUGAUGGAAUGAAUGAUAUUUUGACUACAAAAAAUUUGCAUGGUUCAAUUUGCUUAGUUUCUUGGUUGUUUAAUUUGUAUGAGAAAGCAUGAAGCGCUAUUUAAACCAAGAAAGUAAAACCAUCUUAUAUCAUUAUGCCAAGAACUUUAUCACAAGUUUUUUUUUUUUUUUUGAACAAUUGCUACGGGUUUUACUGAGUAAUGAUAUAUAGUUGAUCAUGUUUUGUUUUAGAAUAAUGAAUUUUAAUUGACUUUUAAUGACAAACAAUGGACUGGUUUUUAAUUCUUACUGUUAGACUUUCCAAAAUUUCUAUCUAACCUAGUGUUUUUAGAAUUGUAUUUGUAAGUACAGGCCUGUCUAUUAGGUACGUGUAUUGCCUAUUGCAUUCUUAACAUUCGUGUAUGAAAGUUCUGAGGUGUGAGCUAGAGAGAAAAUCACAUGAUGUGAUGAUUCUGUGUCAAGCUCAAGGAUAUAUGAAUACAUUGUUCAAACUUAAUUCUAUAUUGUGAUUUGUAAAGGGGGAAUGAAACAUUUCAAUUCUAUGUUUUGGCACAAUUUUAUCCCUUUCAAAGCAUAUUUUUGCUUGGCGCAUGAUCUUAAAAAGAGUUAAACCCAAAACUAAUUUAGAUUGUGUCGAUCACCUACUUUUGAAUUUCUGCUAAAAUUAGUUGGGAGUUAGCAUAGUGUUUUCGAAAGAGGGCAGGAGUCAUUUAAGUUCUUUCUCAGGUAUAGUGCAGUCACUCCUCACUCCCCAGUCUCCUAAAAUGGCUCUGCUCACCGACGACCCACAAACAAAACAACAGCUCCAAGAACAAAUGGUCAUGCAGGGGUGGCCCUGAGGGCGGGCUCGAGGGGCGACAGCCCAGGGCACCACUUUUUUAGGGGCACCAAAAUUAUUAUUUUUACUUAGUAGUUAGUACUAUAUAGAUAUAUAUUUUUUUAAUUCGUUUUGAUUAAUUCUAUUGAAAAUAUAUUUUUAGAUAACUUUGAUUAUAAAUGAAUAUUUUGCAACAAAAAAAGCAAGAAAAAAAAAUUGUAAUAAUUAAAAAGGUUCAAUUUAUUGUUUCGGCCAAGGCACCAAAAAUCUUAGGACCGGCCCUGUGGUCGCAUGUUACAACAAGACUAUCAAAUUACAAGGAUUCAAAUCGCAGAAACAGUAAUAUAUUCCCAUCAAAAUGUAUCCCACACGAUAUGUCCACUGAAGUGAAGCAAAACUGACUCAUACUCUGCAAGGUUGCCACACACACCAGGCGAAAAUUCUGAACACAGCUUCUUUCUACUAAUAAUAGGCUCGUUGACUAAGACAACACUGUCUUCAAAGCCACUGCUGCUAAUAGGAGAUGAUCAAAGCACCCUAAUCCCUGAUGAACUUCACCCAAAAGAAAUAAUCACCAAUGCAAGCAUUUACCUAAAUAUAUCGAAAUUAGACUCCCACCAACUCCUAAACUCUUUUAUCCACCCCUAAACAAUCCAAAGAGUUCAACAACCACUGACUUAAUGUAAAAUUAAAUCCUUUAGGCUUGGUUCUUAGAAUUCUCCAUGACAAAACUUUUGACUCCUUCAUCACCUUCUCCCAAUUAAAUCCCUCUUGAUUAAAAUUCGUUGCUUUUCUUGCUUUCCAAAUAAUUGAAAUGUUUGAAAACUAAAUUACCCUUAACUUCUCUGUAGCCUUUUUUUAUCACCAUUCCCUAGUUCUUUGAACAGUCAAUUGUAAAAUGAAAAAAGAGAUAUUUUCAGUUUCAAUUGUACCACAGCCUCCUAUGCAAAAUAUAAAAUCAUUCAAUUUAAUCCCUCUUUUGUUUAAGUUGUCCCUUCGUAUAAAUGUUGAUCAAUAUUGCAAUUAUAAGAACCAACUGUGCGUAAUAUAAAAUACAAAGGUGAAAACAUAGCUCUUCAGCCUGCUUGCAACUGUUUCACAGAGGAAAAAUGCCACUUAUGCCAUUGGUCAAGCAUGUCAUGUUAAGUUGGUAUCUGAUUUGGGAUCCUGCAGCAUAACAUCAAAAAAUGUUAGUGUCAGAACCAACUUAAGUUUAACUGUUAAACUUUUCAAGCAUUAACUCAUCAACACAAAAUUGUUUUGAUAAAUAAAUUAACCACAUGUAGAACCAAGACUGGUUCUUUUACAUGCAAUGACACUGAGAUAGUGUUUAGUACACAAACAUAAUGAAAUACUAUCAAUGCUAUAUUCUGAAAUUUAGUAUUAUGGCUUCACUAAACUAGUUACUGAAGAUUAUAUCAGUUGUAAAUGCAAACCAUUGUUAAUUCAGUUGUGAAUUCUACUUUACAGUUAGAGUAUUUAGCUAUAGAAUACUCUCUGUACAAUUUUGAAAUGUUCACUUUCAGUUUCUAAUUCAGUUGAAAUGAGAAAUCUGAGAGCAUUUUACUCAUUUCCAACACUCUGUGACUAGUAUUAUGAGUUUAGAAAUAGAAUGGAAAAUAUGAUUCUCAUUGAUUGAAUAAGCUUGUACAACAAGUAUUUAUUAUUAGCAGUAUGCAUUUUGUCCUUGGACAAUAGUAAUGAUAUAUGUUGGACAGAAAAGGAAACACAAGACUGUAGCAAAAAGAAAUUUCAUAUUAAUGGCACAAUACAUGAAGAGCCGUUGGAGGAUUAAAGAGCUGUUAUUGCAGCAUUCACAUCAGUCAACUAACCAGAAUGUUUAGCUCAGCAAAUAAAGGAAACUUCUCUAUGUUUUAGGAAUUAUCAUAUGUGAUUGUGCAGAACCGUUGACCGUUGCACAUUGCUUUUAUAUAAAUAAAUUCCCAUGACCAACUCCUGUAACAGCCGUGUUCACAAUUCUAAUAAAAUAUAGCAUCCAUCCCUUUCUCAUUUUUCUUCUUUUAUAAGUUGUUAUACCCACAUGCUAACUAACAUGAACCUAGAAGUAUAGGAUUACAACUCAGUAACUAACUAAACUAAUCUAAGCUAGUUACUUGUACGGCAAGCUAUUACAGUUAGAGCUUCAUUCCUCUUGCUUAUCUUCGUGAUGCAAUAACUAGUUCCUUUGCACCCACCAGGCCAACACAUAAUUCAUUCAAUUUCUCAACCAAAAAGAAAAACUCAAUCAAAUUUUGAUAUGUUGAAUGCUCUUAUACUAGACACUUCUUUCUAUAUAGUUUCGUCAAUCUUGCUCUUGUAUCAGAUGAUGUUCUAUUUCUUUGUUUAUGCUUCCAAUUUGUUUCCAGACCGUGAGUGGAUGAAUUUUUGAUCAAAGUUGCUUGUAAUUUCAUUGCAUAUGUGAUUCAUUUGUUUUACCAAAUGAUGACUCAUUAGAAGAUGUUUAUAGCUAAAACAAAUGAAUCACAUAUGCUACCUUUGUUUAUAGCUCUAGGUUGGUAGUCGGGUUUGAAAGUGAAUUUUCAUAAGAGUAUGCUGGUGGGGGUGAAUAUUGGGUCGUCCUGGUUAUAUGAAGCUGCAUCCGUGUUGAGUUGUAAAGUUGGAACUGUCCCUUUCUUGUACCUAGGUAUGCCUAUUGGUGGUAACCCUCGAAGAUUGUGUUUCUGGGAACCUAUUGUGAAUCGUAUUAAAUCUAGACUGUCGGGUUGGAAUAGUCGGUUUCUCUCUUUUGGUGGUCGCUUGGUUCUACUCAAAUCUGUCUUGACCUCUCUGCCUGUCUAUGCACUUUCCUUCUUCAAAGCUCCAGCAGGUAUAAUCUCCUCUAUUGAUUCUUUGUUUAUUAAUUUUUUUUGGGGGGGAGUGAGGAUAAUAGGAAAAUUUCUUGGUUAAGUUGGCAAACUGUUUGUUUAAAAAAGGAGUAUGGCGGUUUGGGGGUACGGAAAUUGAAGGAGUUUAAUUUAGCUUUGUUAGGAAAAUGGUGUUGGCGGAUGUUGGUAGAUAGAGGUGGUUUGUGGUAUCGGGUUUUAGUCGCCAGGUAUGGCGAAUUAGGUGGCAGGUUGGAGGUUGGGGGCCGGAGUGUUUCUUGCUGGUGGUCGGAGGUGAGGCGUCUUAGGGAUGGGGUAGGCGAUGGUGGUAGCGGGUGGUUUGAGGAUCAGGUGUUGAGGAGAGUUGGUGAUGGGGUCGAUACUUCGUUUUGGUCUGAUAGGUGGAUUGGGGAGGCUCCUCUGUGUGUGCGGUUUAGGCGGUUGUUUGAGUUAACAGAGAAUAAGUCUAUGUCCGUUGCCGACUUGCUCUCUGUUGAUUCGGAGCGGUGGGGGGAGGUGUGGAGGUGGAGACGUAGGUAAUGGCAGUGGGAGGAGGAGUUGCUAGAUGAGUGUAGGGCUUUACUUCUUGAUGUUUCCUUGAAUCCUAUUGUUUCAGAUAGCUGGGUGUGGCUUCCGGACCCAUCUGGUGGUUACACAGUUCGAGGUGCCUAUAGUUUGUUAAUCUCCCAGGUACCUCCGGUCGCCGUCGAUGAUCUGGAUUUGGUGUGGCACAAACAGGUUCCCUUGAAGGUUUCCGUUUUUGCGUGGAGGCUCCUCCGUGAUCGUUUACCAACAAGGACAAAUUUGAUUGCUCGACGGGUGUUGUCGUCUGACAUGUCUUCGUGUGUUGCUGGUUGCGGUCAUCCUGAAUCGGCUCGUCAUCUAUUUUUAUUGUGUGAUACUUUUGGUUCUCUGUGGCAUUUGGUGCGUGAUUGGAUCGGUUGCUUUGGGGUGGACACAGAUAAUAUUUCAGAUCAUUUUUUACAGUUCACUCAUUUGAUAGGUGGAGGUGCUGCUAGACGUUCUUUUAUGCAACUAAUCUGGCUUCUUUGUGCCUGGGUUGUUUGGAAUGAACGUAAUAACCGUAUGUUUAAUCAUGUUGUGACCCCCAUCCCCUGUUUACUUGAUAAGAUUAAGCUGUUGUCUCUAGGUUGGUUGAAAGCUAAAAAAGCUACCUUUGUUUUUGGGACUCAGCAGUGGUGGUCAAGCCCUCUUGUUUGUUUGGGUAUUGGCUAAGGUUUUUCUGUUGUGUUUUGUAUGUAACCGUUGUAACUCUUGGUUUCUGAGGUAGUCUCUAAAGGCACACCUUGUGCGUUUGAAACUACUAAUUCGUAUAUAAUUCCAUUUUGGCUUGUUCAAAAAAAAGUUUAUACCCAAGUACGACUAGAGCAUUAACAUCAUUGAUUUGAUGAGACAUACUUGUUUUUUUUUUUUUGCUAGACAUACCCACUAUAAGUUAUAAGUCACUAAGCCAGUCUCUCAUCAGUAAUCAUAAUUUUUUUUUGGAGGAGUAAUCAUAGUUAAUUGUUCGUUAGUUAAUAUAAUAGCCUGAAUAAAUAUCAAAAUUGGCAGGUCACAAUUUUCUCGCGACACAUUCGGACCAUGACAAAUAAUACAUAAAUUAGUCUAUGGCAUUCUUAUACGAAGAUAAGUUAGUAUGUCAUAAUUUGUCAAAAAAAAAGUUAGUAUGCUAUAAUGAAUCAAAAUAAAUAGAAGGACUAAUUUGUUCGAUAUAUUAAAAUUUAAGGGACUAAUUUGAGUAUUAAUCUUUGUCAAUAAUGCAUGGUAAUUUAUUUAUUUACUAAGAGGUAAAAUGGAAAAUAAAAAAGGGGAAAUUUUCUCUCAAAUAAAAAAAAAAAUGGGGAAAUUUCAUUUAGGUGACUAGUGAUCUUAAUUGAGUGUGCAGUCACCAGGCACACUGCACACGUAUGCGUUUCAACUUUCAACUUUCAAAAUCAAUCCGCAUCAUACUCAAACCAAUAUCCUGACCGUCUAUCACUUAUAUCCUUGAAACGGAUAAAACAAUCCCACGUCACCGAUCCAAAACGAACCUAACUAGCCAAUAGAAACACGAAAUAACCGUCUUAUAUGUCAGAUCGAUCCGCGUCUUCGUUUACUCAAAGUAAGAUCGUGACCGUCUAUUGUCAUAUCCCUAUUGCUGUAUUUAACGGAUCAAAAGAAUUCCACAUCAUCGAUCCGCGGCAAACCUCAUUAUCCAAUAGAAACACGAAAACCCUUUCCUAUAUAAAUCACCGCAACGCUCUGGAUUCAUUCAUCAAAUUCUCAAUUCAAACCUUCUUCGCAUUCAAAUUUUCUUUUUCUCUCAAAAUUUUUCUCAGUUUGAAAUGGAGGCAAGCACCAAGACAACAAAGAAGGGAGCCGGUGGAAGGAAAGGAGGAGGUCCAAGGAAGAAGUCGGUGACAAGAUCAAUCAGAGCCGGUCUUCAAUUUCCAGUGGGAAGAAUCGGUAGAUACUUGAAGAAAGGAAGAUACGCUCAGCGUGUAGGCACAGGUGCUCCAGUAUACCUAGCAGCAGUUCUUGAAUAUCUCGCUGCUGAGGUUCUUGAGUUGGCUGGAAAUGCAGCACGUGAUAACAAGAAGAAUAGAAUCAUUCCAAGGCAUGUGUUGUUGGCUGUUAGGAAUGAUGAAGAACUUGGUAAAUUGCUUAAUGGUGUUACCAUUGCUCAUGGUGGUGUUCUUCCAAACAUUAACCCAAUCCUAUUGCCUAAGAAGAAUGAAAAAACUGAUACUAAGGAGCCAAAGAAGGCUGGAAAGUCUCCAAAGAAGGCUUAGAUCUGAUCUGUUUUCAAUCUUUAGAUGAUUGUGUUUAUAUCUAAGACUAGGGUUACUUUAUGUGAUAUAAAUCGGUUUUAGUGCUUUCAUAUAAUGCAAUGUAACUCCAUCUUAUUGCAUUUCUCCUUUAGGACUUUUAUCUAUCAAUGAAAUUUAUUCAAUUUCAAUAUUAUAAACUAGAAUCUUAUUGCAUUUCAAGAUUUUAAUAUUAUGAUAGUAAUUUAGUAAAUGAGAUUUAUACUUUAAAAGCUCAUUGGCUAAUUGUUACUUGUUCGUUAGUUUACAUAUUUGAAAAAGUCUUAGACCCUGUUUCUCCUAACCUGGUUUGAUAAAUCAGAAAAUUGUCUAUGUACAGAACUUUUAUCACAAAAUUAACUGCAGAUUAAUCCGAAGUUUGCUGUAAAUAGUUAAUUCUGUAGAAAAUAAAUUGGCACAAAUAUUAUAGAAAACUGGUGAUAAUGCUCUUUUGUUGUAGAAUUUCAAGAGGAAAGUAUGCUAGAGAAAAUUUGUUAUUGGAUGGGUGUUUAGCAAAAUCAAAAGAUUCUAAUUUGUGGAAUAAUAUGGUGAAAUUAUGGCCUAUAAUCUUUUUGUUAUUGGAUGAGUGUUUAACAAAAUCAAAAGAUUCUAAUUUGUGGAAAAAUAUGGUGAAAUUAUGGCCUAUAAUCUUAAGUAGCUUGACACAUAGGAUUAUUUGAAACAGUGAACCAUUUCAAGCUUGAGAGCAUUGUUGGUUUGAUGAGGGAUUAAAAGUGAUUGAUCUUGAUAUUAAUAUCUCUAGAACUUGUUAAUGAGCAAGAGGAAUAGAGAAUGAAUGAUUUGCAAGGGUAGUAAUGUUUGCGCGUGGCCUGGUGAGUUUUGUGGAAUUCUCAGUUGCUCAAAUAAACAUAUAUGUGGUGUUUUAUUUAACCUGUUUCCAGCUAUUGGUCACGGAUGUGUAAAAUUAAUGCCCCAAAGGGAAUACGUUUGCGUGGUUGCUUACACGAUAAACUCUUAAAGCAGAUUGCAGGUCAUACUGCACACUGUCACCACUGUAUAGAAACUAUCAAAACGACAUUGCAUGUUCUUCGCGGUUGUCUCUUAGCAAUGGUGACUUAACGCGGUUGAUUAUGGAUGUUUAUGGUGUUUCGUGAGGAGGAAGCCUUGGAGUGGACUGAUUUUUGGACGUCAUACUUUGUGUCAACUAGGUAAUCCUUGGCGUGUUAAUUGUUAUGUGGUUAGUGCUAAAACUGCUUCUGAGCAGAACACUACAAUGACUGUUUUGGAAAAUUUUUGGCAGGCCCCUGAAAGUGGUUGGAUUGGGUCCGUUUUAACAUGGAUGACACAUAAAGGAGGGAGUGUUGCUGGAAGUAGAGGAGUGUUGCAUGGGUAGAAUGACACAUUUGAUCUGUGUCUUUUCGAAGAGAUUGGGGGUGUGUAGCACGUAUGUGGCGGAACUUUUGGGAGUUUUUGAAGGUUUUAAUUUGGCUCGACCGCAUGGUUUCCAUAAGAUUGUGCUUCAUGUUGACUUGCAAGUAGUGGUUACUACGCUUUCAAAAUACAUGUAGCCACGAUCAAGAUAACUUGUGAUUAAAUUUAAAACUAGAUGCAAUUGGUACAAGUUUAAGAUCACAAGAACUUUGAACAUGAGAGCUGUGAAUAUGAAUGAACCUCAUGAGUUGUAGAAGCAUGAUCAGAAGCUAAACAGUUUCAGUAGCCACAAUGAGAAAUCCAAGCUAGCAAGAAAGAAAAAAAGUGAACUUUCCAAAUGAAGUUGUUGAAAAUUUAAGGUGUAAAUAUUAACAAAUAAUGAAAGUUUCAAGUGAAGGGAAUAAUACGGUUGUCAACAACUCUAGAAACAAAUUAGGAAAGAACUUGUUUUGUAGUGAAAAAAGGUAGAAGAAACAGAUGUUUCACAGACUUAUGUCACAUGAGCUGGUGGUAUACUAUUGUGGUCUCAAUGAUUUAAUAAUCGUUUAGUUUGGCAUUUGCAAUUGAAUUCUAGCAUCACAAUGCCACUUCAACAUGAAUUUUAGUGGUCUCAAUGAUUUAAUAAUCGUUUAGUUUGGCAUUUGCAAUUGAAUUCUAGCGUCACAAUGCCACUUUAACGUGAAUUUUAUGAAGCUAGAAAUUCUUGCUUCAGCCUAGACAUCGUUGAUGGCCUGUCCACCGCAAUUUUGAACACUGCAUUAGGAGGAUGUUUAUUAGGAUUACUGUGCUACUAAAGUUUUUUAAUUAAAAUACAAAAAAGUAUAUAGAAUAGAAAAGGUGAUGAUAUAGCUGAAGUGAUAAAAUUCCAAUCCGUUCAAUGACACCAAAAGGAGGGAAGAAGCCAUUAGUUUUUAACAUUUUAAGAUCUUAAUAUUAUGAUAGGAAUUUAGUACAAGAGAUUUAUACUUUAAAGUCCAUUUGCCAAUGUGCACUAGUUAACAUUUUUGAAAAAGCUUGAGACCUAUUUCUCCUAAGCUGAGUUUGAUAAACCAGAAAAUUGACUAUGUAUAGAACUUUACCACAAUUAUAAAACUGUAGUUUAAUUCCAAGUUUGCUGUAAAUAGUAAAAAAAUUGCUGCAGAAUAAUCUGCUAUAUCCUUGUUAUAACUUAUAAUGCUACUAAAAUAGUCCUGCAAUUUUUGUUAUAAUUCAGCAUAAGAUUUGUGUCCAAGUACUCUAGUGUGAUGGAAUACUCUGCAGUUCAGUGACCAAAUCAUUGCAGAGAAUUAUGGAUUUUACUUGUAACAUUCUUUUGAAAACAAAUUAUCACCAAUAUUAUAGAAAUCUGGUGAUAACGCUCUUUGUUGUAGAAUCUCAAGAAGAUAGUAUGAUAGAGAAAAUUUGUUAUUGGUUGAGGUUGUAGCAAAAUCAAAUGAUUCUAGUUUGUGGAAAGUUAUGGUGAAAUUAUAACUAAUGUCAGUAGCUUGGCGCAUUGGAUUUUUUGAAAUGGCGAACCAGUUCAAGCUUAGAAGUAUUGUUGGUUGGAUUAAGGAUUAAAACAGAUCAACCUUGUGGACCGUCAUAAUAUUCCUAAAGACCUUAAAGACAUCCGGAAGGGCGUCUAGACCCCUCAAGAAGGCCUUAAUACCAUUAAAAGAGGCCCAAGGGCCCCGGGUGCGCAUUAUCCAUGGCACCGCCUCAAUAAUCUCUAGAAUCUUCUAGAAACCGCCUCUAAAUACAUAAAUACCCUUAUUACUUGGAGACUAAGCAACCGAAACCCAAGCUCAUAGAAGCUAUAAAUACCACCCUUGAGAACAGUCUCAGGUAUCCAAUAGUCAGUCUAAAACCCUAAUAUACACGAUUCUUAACACUAGAAUCUCUUAUUGUGCUUUUUGCAAGUACCGUUGGCACCGUCUGUGGGAAACGGUAAAACUAACCUAGACCACACUCACAAACCUAAAAUCCCUCACGGCUAUCUCCAAAAUACGGUGGCCGGCAAAGAUCACAUGACAUUGUGAAAACGAUAAAAUUACUAAUAGAACAACUGAAGCGGCAAUAGGAAAUCCUUCAGACUUCUAAGACGAUUAUCCAUCCAAAAAGCGGUUUACAAAAUAACUCCCUUCCUAUAUGUUUCACGUGUUUUUGAUAGCAUUUGUUCUUUAUUUUUGCGAUUCAAUAUGUGUCAUGUUAUCUCUGUGAUUCUUGUAAAUCCCUUUCUUGAUAAGUACAUAUAUACACUGGAAUGACAAUUACCUUGCAGUAAUCACAAAUCGGUGACUCAAUCAUUCACAAGGGAGUCAAAAACUUUCUUGAAUCGGUGACAAAAAUAAUGAAUAUGUAUUUUAUUUAGUAUUCGCAAUCACGUGAUACCAUAACUGAUGUGAUUAUAAGCCUUUUAAAUCUCCAACCUAUUAUAUGAAUUGAUUUUUUAAGUGCUUGAUUUCAAUGGAUAUCAUGUUGAAUUGAUUUUUAUUAAGUGCAUGAUUUCAAUGGAUAUCAUGUGAUCUUCUAAUAUCGUUAUUCUUUUAUAUAUAUAUAAUUCUGCUUAUCAAGUAUCGGUAUAAGUUGCAAAGUGCUUUACAUUCUGUUUUCUCUUCCACAAAUGAUAAGGCUAUUAUACGAGGAAACCAUUAUAUACCAAAAUCUAUUGUUUUACUGUCUGUGACAGAAAAUUCCAGCAAGCAUAAUUGUAGUGGUGCUUAGGUCAAUGAAAAACACUACUUUGUUAUAGUUUUGUAGAGGAUAUGUUAUUAUUGAUUACUAACAAUUUUCUCCAUAUGCAAGCAUCAAAGUUCGGCAGGAAGCGACCAGAUACCGAGUUUUUUAAAAAAAAAAUAAAAAGAAAAAGUUCGGCAGCAAGCCGAGUCCAGCCUUAGGUCCAGUCCUGUUCAAGUUGGACGACCUUAUCCUUAUUGUCGCUGAGUCAAAGAAUAAAGGAAGUGAAGGAUAAUAAUCUAUCGCUUGACCGUCAUCCUCACCUUAAAAUCCACAAACAUUAUGGAGUAAUAUCAGGUUCGAUUUUUCCAAAAUUGUCAUUGGUGGAACUGACAUACUAUUUAUUCGAUGUUAUAUCAUUUAUUCAAAGUAUAUAAAACUCUACAAACUAAGCUUAGUUGCUGCCGCAAGGUCGUUUUAAAGAUUUUCAAUGAGAUAGUGAUACACUCUUGGAGGUAUUAAUCCUGCUCUUGAAUAAACUUUGCUAUACACAUGUGUCUUUAGGGCACAAGUUAACAUGACCCUUAUUCUAAAUGGGCGAGUGGGUAUAAGAGAAGUAAAAAUAAGAUAAUGGGCGAGUUAAUUCCAAUUUAAUUAGAUGAGUUAAAGUCACAAGUUGACAUGAGAGAGAAGCGAACAGAAGAAAAUAAGAAACAUAGGUAGAAGAAGUAGCCCCUUUUUAACACGAGACGAAAUAGAAUAAUAUAGUUGGAUAUUCAAGCAGAAGACGUAGUUCAUUUAAUAAGAGAAGAACUAGGAUAGUUGUAAUCAUACUUAUUGAAUAGCGUCAUAAAACAACUAACAAAAUUAUUUAAACACUAUUUAACUACUUGGACGUCCUGGUUAUCAGUGAAUGAAGAGAAAUGCUUGGUUGUUUUCUCAACCGCCAACAACGUCAGGAAAGAAUAUCAUAUUAUCUCUCAUACUUACCAAGCAGCGGUGGCGGUUUCUAUUUGUCUCUUGUAUACCACCGUUUUAUGUUUUACAUCUAUUUAUGUUGGGUAUAUUUAUGAUACUAAUUACUUUGGAAGUUUGGAAGAAUUGUUAUAUGUCAGAUAAAACAAGGUUGGGAUACUAACAAGCCCGCCCAGGGGCUAGAUGAAUGAAAGGAUAGAACUCGCCAAUCAACACGCCAUAAUUAAACGAGCAUGGAAGCAACAGUCACGCCAUGGAAAAAAUAAAGAUGAAACGCGGAAUUAUAUUCUAAAAUAACUUUUUCGACCUUUGAGAUUUGUUUUGCAGGUUUUUUAAAAAGAAGUUUAUCGAGAGACCGCCCAAACUGGGUCAACCUUUUAUAGGCUCUGAACUCGGUGGCCUGAUAAAAAGAAGAUUAUCGAGAGACCGCCCAAACUAGGUCAACCUUUUAUAGGCUCUGAACUCGGCGGCCCGAUAAAAAGAAGAUUAUCGAGAGACCGCCCAAACUGGGUCAACCUUUUAUAGGCUCUGAACUCGGCGGCCCGAUAAAAAGAAGACUACCGAGAGAGCGCCAUCAACCUUAUUAAAGGCUCUGCACUUGGUGACCCGGUAAAAAAAUUCGAGAGAGCGCCAUCAACCUUAUUAAAGGCUCUGCACUUGGUGACCUGGUAAAAAAAUCCGAGAGAGCGCCAUCAACCUUAUUAAAAGGCUCUGCACUUGGUGACCCGGUAAAAAAUCCGAGAGAGCGCCAUCAACCUUAUUAAAGGCUCUGCACUUGGUGACCUGGUAAAAAAUCCGAGAGAGUGCCAUCAACCUUAUUAAAGGCUCUGCACUUGGUGACCCGGUAAAAAAUCCGAGAGAGUGCCACCAACCUUAUUAAAGGCUCUGCACUUGGUGACCCGGUAAAAUAUCCGAGAGAGCGCCAUCAACCUUAUUAAAGGCUCUGCACUUGGCGACCCGGUAAAAAGAAGAUUAUAGGGAGGACGCCUAAACUGGGUCAACCUUUUAUAGGCUCUGAACUCGGCGACCCGAUAAAAGCUCAAAAGUCAUGAAGAUAGUAAUGUUAUGAAGACGUCUGCAUUUCGUUUAAAAUCAAACGCCAAAGAUCUCAUAAGAUUUAAAACACCACGCCUUGUACCAAGACUUGUGCUUGGGGGCUGUGGACCGUCCUAAUAUUCUUCAAAGCUUGGAAACCCUCGGAAAGGUCUUAAAUGCCCUUCGUAAGGACCUAAAAGGUUUUCCAAAAGGGUUACUGGGUUUAGGCGCCCCCUCCCGAACCUUCAGAACUUGCCUAAAAGUAUUCUAAAGAAGUCUUAAGCUUUAAAAGCACCACGCCUUGUACCAAGACUUGUGCUUGGGGGCUGUGGACCGUCAUAAUAUUCCUAAGUAGCGUAGAACGCCUUUGGCAAAAACCUAAAUGUUUUUCUAUAGAUUUUAAGAGUUUAAGCGUAUCCUCUCAAGGGAUGCCGCCCUCAUAAACCUCUAGAUGCUUCUAAAAAACAUCUCGCCCCAAAGCAGUGAAGGUAUUCUGAAAAGUACAUAAGCUUGAAAAGCACCACGCCUUGUACCAAGACUUGUGCUUGGGGGCUGGGGACCGUCAUAAUAUUCCUAAAGACCUUAAAGACCUCCGGAAGGGCGUCUAGACCCCUCAAGAAGGCCUUAAUACCAUUAAAAGAGGCCCAAGGGCCCCGGGCGCGCAUUAUCCAUGGCGCCGCCUCAAUAAUCUUUAGAAUCUUCUAGAAACCGCCCCUAAAUACAUAAAUACCCCUAUUACUUGGAGUCUAAGCAACCGAAACCCAAGCCCAUAGAAGGCUAUAAAUACCACCCUUGACAACACUCUCAGGUAUCCAAUAGUCAAUCUAAAACCCUAAUAUACGAUUCUUAACCCUAGAAUCUCUUAUUGUGCUUUUUGCAAAUACACCUUGAUAUUAAUAUCCCUAUUGGCAUGCAAUAUGUUAAAGUUGAAGAGCUUGUCAAUGAGCAUGAGGAGUGGAGAAUGAAUCAUUUGCAAGGAUAACUCCCUGUUGAAAUUCUGGACAGAUAUAGAGCCAUCCCGCCGCCAAAUAUUGAUUAUGGUAACUAUGUUUGUGCGUAGGGCCUGGUGUGAGUGUUGGUGAUUUCUCACUUGCUCAAACUUAUAAAGAGUUAUGUGGUGAUUUAGCUGAACCAAUUUUCAGCUAUUGGAUGUGCGUGUUGAAAAAUAAUGCCCGAGAGCUCAAACAAGAUGGACGGUUAACUAAUAGCAGUUUGCAGGACAUGCAUCUCAGAACUGCGUACUGUCAUCACUUAAUAGAUACUAUCGAAAGGAUAUUGCAUGUUCUUCGCGAUUAUCCCAUAGCAAUGGUUGUUUGCUUAGGACUGUUAAUUUUAGAUAUCACAAGGAACUUUUCAACGCAGAUUUGCAGCAAUGGUUGGAUAUGAGUAUGGAUAUAGUGUUGAGUGAGGGGAAGACCCGAAAUUGGACUGGUUUUUGGGCUAAGGCAUGUCAUACUUCGUGGAAUUGGAGGAACAGAAGGAUGCAUGAUGAGGAUUUUGUGUCACCUAGUAAUCCUUGGCUGGAAAUUAGCAGGCUUGUUAAUUGUCAUGCAGCUAGUGCUAAAACUGCUACUAUAUAUGCAAAACAUUACAAUGACAAUUUUGGAAAAUAUCAACUGGCAGCCUCCCUAAAAGUGGUUGGAUUCGUUUGAUCACCGAUGGCACAUAUAAAGGAGGGAGUGUUGCAUGGGGAGAAUGGCAAAUUGAUCAGUGUCUUUUGGAAGAGAUUGCGGGCAAGCAGCGCGUAUGUGGCAGAACUUUGGAUAGAUUUUGAAGGUUUGAAUUUGGCUAGUUUCCAUAAGAUCGAGCUUCAUUUUCACUCGCAAGUAGUGGUUUUACGCUUUCAGAUAGUAAAUGAGGGACUGUGGCAGGUAAGAGUAUAGUGCAAAACAUCAGACAUUAAGUGAAGUGGGAUUGGAAAAUUGUGGAGUGCUUUAAUGUCUGAUGUUUUGCAACAUAGUAGAUCAGUUGUGGAAAUUGUGGCGUCGAUAUUGUUGUAAUUAUUGGAUAUUUCAAAAGUAUUUUUAGUUCAAGAGUUAUUGUUAUCAAUAAUGAGUUUUUGCUCAAUUUUAUUGUGCUUGACCGUUUCCAUUAUAUGCUUUUAUGAAAUAAUAUUUUCAGUAAUUUUAUUUAACAAUUCUUCAAAAGGAAAUUGUAUAUGUGCUUCAUACUGAGUCAAACACAUUUAUAACGUUCCUAUUUAUUAGCCAAUUUUAAGGCGUUAUUUUUCUGAACCCAACAGUUACAGAUUGCCAACAAAACAAUUUUGACUCACGUACUAAAUGAAUGUUACACGUUUUGACUUGGUUUUGUGCAGUAUAAAUACAAAACAAUUAUCUCCUUUGACAGGCUAAUUUUGUUAGUAGUUCAACGUUUUCCUUUUACAUAGAAGAAACCCCUCUUUACUUUUUAUGCUUCAAGUUUUACAUGAAAAGAUUUUUAUGAGUCUUAUACACAACAGUUAUGGGAGGAUAUGCGCUUAUGAACCAGAUAAAAUCUUCAAAAUUGUUGAAAAAUUUACUUAUAAUAAUUAUCUCUAAAUAAUAUCAAACCAACAUCGGGAGGAUAUUGCAUUUUAACAAAUCAACACUGAUAGGUUGCCAAACUGCAACAUGUGUCGUGUCUGUUGCUGAGUCGUGGUCUGAUAUGAUGUACUCUCCUAGCACAUUGCCAAACGCUAAGAGUAAAAAGGUUAGAAUGCUCGUAAGAGUAAAAAAUGACCUAAAUCUUAGUUAUGAGAAGUUGACUAGAAAAAGAAAGGCAAAUAUACCAUGGAAAAUGAAAAAAUCUUUAAUAUUUUUGGUAAUUUACUCCUAACUUUACUACUAUAUAUAUAUUUUUGUAAUAUAAGUCACUUAUAUUUCAGCUAUGAAGGAAAAUUUUGCAGCAACAAAUGUUUGUACAAAUACCCAGCAUGCAAGUCAUACUUUUACUCAAUUGUUGACUAUAAGCAAGUUUUUCAUUCAUUUGUACAAUAUUAUUUCUAAACUAUCUUUUAUAAAAUAUUAUUUAGAUCUUGUUAACAAGUGCCUUUAGGACACUAGUUAAAGAUUUUAAAAUAGAAAUAAUUGGUAAGUUUUUAUGUAAAAAAGAUUAUUUUUCAAGUUUCAAAGUUUUGAAUGCAUCAAUCCUAAGAUAAAACUUCUUCUUUAAGCUUCUUAACAAAACACUUGUUAACAUUUUCCAUAUUAUUUAACCUUGAUAAUCAUAUGCAACACCCACUAAGCUACAAUUUGAUUUCUCUAUGUUCAAAUCUUGGAAAAAUUAAAAAUAACUAACGUAAUAUAAUUUUGGUUAUAAGAAAUGAUAUAAUGAAAUAACUUCAAUGAAUGAGAAGCUGCCUAUAAUAUUGAACAAAAGACACAUAAUUUUCCUUCAAAAAAAAAAGAAAAAAGACACAGCAUUUAUACAUGUGUGAUAAUUUUAUUCAUUUAAAUAAAAAAAUAAUUUUUAUUCAAUAGAGUGAAUUUUAACUAUCCUAUAUAACAUUCCUUCAAAAAAAAAAAAACUAUACUACAUAUUAUAAUUACUGAAAAAUAUAAAAGUAAAACCCUAAAAAAAUGUACAAUAAAGAUUUUUGAAAAAUUAAAAUCAAUGUUUCUUAGUGGUGGUUUUUUUUUUUUUGAAUAACUAGUAGUGGAUUUUUUAUUUGGCUGCUUUAAACAAAACAAAAAAACUCUUUCAAAAACUAAACCGGGAAAACAAGGAAACAAAAUAAGGAAAAAACGUUUCAACCAGCACAUCGAUCCGUAUCAUCGUUGUAUCAAAACAAAAUCCUGAGCGUCCAUCACUAUCUCCUUCUAACGGAUGAAAAAAUUCCACGUCAUCGAUCCACGGCAACCUUCACUAGCCAAUAGAAAUGCGAGAGCUAUCUUAUAUAUUAGUCAAACCGCAUCUAUCGUUUUUCAUCACCAUCUACUUUUCUUCUGCAAUCGUUUAAUUUUCAAUUCCCAAUUCAAAACCCUAACUUUCUUCCAAGUUCCAAAUUCUCAAUGGCACCAAAGGGAGAGAAGAAGCCAGCAGAGAAGAAACCAGCUGAGGAGAAGAAGUCCACCGUCGCCGAGAAAGCUCCUGCUGAGAAGAAGCCCAAGGCUGGAAAGAAGCUUCCAAAGGAAGGUGGUUCAGCCGCCGGAGAUAAGAAGAAGAAGAGAAGCAAGAAGAAUGUUGAAACAUACAAGAUCUACAUCUUCAAAGUUCUGAAGCAGGUUCACCCAGACAUUGGUAUCUCAAGCAAGGCCAUGGGUAUCAUGAACAGUUUCAUCAAUGAUAUCUUCGAGAAGCUUGCUCAAGAAUCAUCCAGACUUGCUCGUUACAACAAGAAGCCAACAAUCACUUCAAGGGAAAUUCAGACUGCAGUCAGGCUUGUUCUUCCUGGUGAAUUGGCCAAGCAUGCUGUC